rnacentral:tRNA from 1 species
UAGGAUAAUAGUUAAAAUUAACAUUUAAUUUGCACUUAAAAAAUAUUGAUCAUCAAUUUAUCUUAA